rnacentral:rRNA from 1 species
CCUACGGGAGGCAGCAGUGGGGAAUUUUGGACAAUGGGCGAAAGCCUGAUCCAGCCAUUCCGCGUGAGUGAAGAAGGCCUUCGGGUUGUAAAGCUCUUUCGCAAGGGAAGAAAACUUAGUCUCUAACAUAGACUGAGGUUGACGGUACCUUGAUAAGAAGCACCGGCUAACUACGUGCCAGCAGCCGCGGUAAUACGUAGGGUGCGAGCGUUAAUCGGAAUUACUGGGCGUAAAGCGUGCGCAGGCGGUUUUGUAAGUCAGAUGUGAAAUCCCCGAGCUCAACUUGGGAACUGCGUUUGAAACUACAAGACUAGAAUAUGUCAGAGGGGGGUAGAAUUCCACGUGUAGCAGUGAAAUGCGUAGAGAUGUGGAGGAAUACCAAUGGCGAAGGCAGCCCCCUGGGAUAAUAUUGACGCUCAUGCACGAAAGCGUGGGGAGCAAACAGGAUUAGAUACCCUGGUAGUCCACGCCCUAAACGAUGUCUACUAGUUGUUGGUGGAGUAAAAUCCAUGAGUAACGCAGCUAACGCGUGAAGUAGACCGCCUGGGGGAGGUACGGUCGCGAGAAGUUAAAACGUUAAAAGGUAAAGUUAGUACGGCGUGAGACGUGACCGACGGACGACGACGAGGGAGGUUAGGG